GUAUUAUGAUGAAACCCAUGCGUGUCAGCUGACUCUGUAAAACCCUGUGGUGUUGUUGCUCUGGGUUGCGUUUUGCUAUCUAGGGUCUUUAACACACCAGGGCUACAGAGACAUGAUCAUAAAUCACUACUUCUGAAUAC